GGGAGCCAGCCGCCGAAGGUGGGGUAGAUGAUUGGGGUGAAGUCGUAACAAGGUAGCCGUAUCGGAAGGUGCGGCUGGAUCACCUCCUUUCUAAGGAA
rnacentral:rRNA from 1 species